GCUGGGUGUCGUGGCACAUGCCUGUAAUCCUAGGGCUCUGGAGGCUAAGACAGGAGGAUCACAGAGUUCAAAGCCAGCCUCAGCAAUGGCGAGGUGCUAAGUGACUCAGUGAUACCCUGUCUCUA
rnacentral:sRNA from 1 species